UACGGGGGUGCGAGCGUUGUCCGGAAUCACUGGGCGUAAAGGGCGCGUAGGUGGUUUGAUAAGGGUGUGGUGAAAGCCCGGGGCUCAACCCCGGGUCUGCCGUGCCGACUGUUAAACUCGAGGGCUGUAGAGGCAGACGGAAUUCCGGGUGUAGCGGUGGAAUGCGUAGAGAUCCGGAGGAAGACCGGUGGCGAAGGCGGUCUGCUGGGCAGUUUCUGACACUGAUGCGCGACAGCGUGGGGAGCAAACAGG
rnacentral:rRNA from 1 species